rnacentral:rRNA from 2 species
UGGAGCUGAAAUCAGUCGAAGAUACCAGCUGGCUGCAACUGUUUAUUAAAAACACAGCACUGUGCAAACACGAAAGUGGACGUAUACGGUGUGACGCCUGCCCGGUGCCGGAAGGUUAAUUGAUGGGGUUAUCCUCACGGAGAAGCUCUUGAUCGAAGCCCCGGUAAACGGCGGCCGUAACUAUAACGGUCCUAAGGUAGCGAAAUUCCUUGUCGGGUAAGUUCCGACCUGCACGAAUGGCGUAAUGAUGGCCAGGCUGUCUCCACCCGAGACUCAGUGAAAUUGAACUCGCUGUGAAGAUGCAGUGUACCCGCGGCAAGACGGAAAGACCCCGUGAACCUUUACUAUAGCUUGACACUGAACACUGGUCCUUGAUGUGUAGGAUAGGUGGGAGGCUUUGAAGUGUGGACGCCAGUCUGCAUGGAGCCAUCCUUGAAAUACCACCCUUUAAUGGCUGGUGUUCUAACGUGGGCCCGUAAUCCGGGUUGCGGACAGUGUCUGGUGGGUAGUUUGACUGGGGCGGUCUCCUCCUAAAGAGUAACGGAGGAGCACGAAGGUCAGCUAAUCCUGGUCGGACAUCAGGAGGUUAGUGCAAUGGCAUAAGCUGGCUUGACUGCGAGCGUGACGGCGCGAGCAGGUGCGAAAGCAGGUCAUAGUGAUCCGGUGGUUCUGAAUGGAAGGGCCAUCGCUCAACGGAUAAAAGGUACUCCGGGGAUAACAGGCUGAUACCGCCCAAGAGUUCAUAUCGACGGCGGUGUUUGGCACCUCGAUGUCGGCUCAUCACAUCCUGGGGCUGAAGUAGGUCCCAAGGGUAUGGCUGUUCGCCAUUUAAAGUGGUACGCGAGCUGGGUUUAGAACGUCGUGAGACAGUUCGGUCCCUAUCUGCCGUGGGCGCUGGAGAAUUGAGGGGGGCUGCUCCUAGUACGAGAGGACCGGAGUGGACGCAUCACUGGUGUUCGGGUUGUCAUGCCAAUGGCAUUGCCCGGUAGCUAAAUGCGGAAGAGAUAAGUGCUGAAAGCAUCUAAGCACGAAACUUGCCCCGAGAUGAGUUCUCCCUGACCCUUUAAGGGUCCUGAAGGAACGUUGAAGACGACGACGUUGAUAGGCCGGGUGUGUAAGCGCAGCGAUGCGUUGAGCUAACCGGUACUAAUGAACCGUGAGGCUUAACCUUACAACGCCGAAG